rnacentral:miRNA from 4 species
GUGUCUGCUUCCUGUGGGA